GGAAAAAAAGAUUUUAUGAAUUUAUAAAUAACUGAAAAAAAUUAGGAAGAAAAGAGAGAAAACUAAGAAUAGGAGAGAGAAGGCAGGAGGGGAGGGAAGGCAAGAAACUGAAUUAAAAAAGCGAAAUUACUUUCCUGGCAAACCAAUAGUAAGAUAUAGACAAUAUAAUUUUCCCCUGGAAAAGAGAGUGAGCCGGGAGUGGAUUCUCCUCGGGCAGACCCCGCUCCCGGAGCCGCCACCCGAGCCCCGGGGCGCCGCGAAACGGGGGGCAAAAAGGAUCCCCGCUCCCAGUUUAUAUUUGGGCAGAGGAUUUGGUUCUAUGUUUUAUUAUUUCCCUAAUCUUUUCCCGGUGAGAAGAAUUGACUGUACACUCCCCCGGGCUGGGACACGAAAGAGAACGCAGGUUUAACACCGAGUCCCGCGUGGGUUCUCCGCACCGCUCCUGUCCCCUUAAACCCGGCUUAAUACCCGCCUAAAAGCGGCGCGACCGGCUCCUCAUUUACUCCCCUGGCUUGGUAGGUGGCCGUGUAUAUUUUUGUUGAAGUAGUGUUUAUGUUAAUGAAAAAGGCUGAGAUUACAAACAGACCACUGAAUGCCCGGGAUGUUGCUGCUGGAUUGGUCUAAACUGUGUACUUUCAACCUAAUCAGUUUUGGGGAGCAAAAAUGAUUUUUUUUUUCCUUCUAAAUGAAUUUUUUUGGGUUUUUUUUUUGCAGAAAAACAUUUGAGAUGUUUGGGGAGCCUUGUGCCACUCCUUUCGCCCCUGGUUUUGGGGCUGCAUGUCCCCGCUUAGUGGGCAGGGAUGGAGAGUUGCAGGGAAAAGCAUCUCUGAAUAUUAGCCAUAAAACCCAACGAAAACGAGCGCUGGGCUCCAGGAGGCAGGCAGGGGAACAGGAGGUUCAGCUCAAUCUCCCCAAGUCCCCCCGACUCCAUUGAGGGGUUCCUGGUGGGAAACGGGACUGUGUCCCGUGAAAUCUCAGCUAUGCUGGGGGAACAGUAAACGCCUUGCAGAUGGGUCGUGCUCAGGGGCUUGUCUUUGCCCAGUGGAGAACCUGAAAUUAGCUCAAAAAAACCAUUUAGGAUGGUAAACACCCCCCACACACCCUCCCCAAACCAUACAUUUACAUGUAUAUGUAUAUGUAUAUGUAUAUGUAUAUGUAUAUGUAUAUGUAUAUGUAUAUGUAUAUGUAUAUGUAUAUGUAUUUAUAAUUUCAGUCUUUUAAAAUGCUAACUAAGAUGGAACGAAUCAUUCAAUCUACAUUAUAAUACAAGAGUUUUUUUUGAGGGGGACACCAAUCAUCACCCUGUUACUUUGAUUUCAGAGUCUAACUUUGGGCUCCACCUCCUUCUGGUUUCCUUAACAAAACCCCACUUUCCAAAAUUAUUCCUCCCCCCAAGCUGUUUCUAUCCCUCUCUGCAUUUGCAUGUUUGAUGUGUUGAUAGUUAAGAAAUCAGAUUUUUAUGGACAUUUUCCCCCACUGGAUAAUUUCCCAGCCUGGAAGGAUCCAGUUUGGUGCUGGUGAGUGGGUUUCUCUCCCCAAGGAGCUCUGUGAGCAAAUGUGUGCGCAGCAUUUGGCAUCCUGCUCCUUUUCAACACUUUCCUUUUGUGGGCAAAAGCUCUCUGCAGAGGAGCCUCUCUGGCAGAUCCAGGGAAACCUGGAGGAUUCGUACAUUCACAUGUUUUACUACUGUAAUGAUUCCUCGUUGACUAAAGCACAGAGAAAAUUAGAGCUUAAACAAGUUGCUGUUGGACGGGGAUAUGAGCAAAAUUUGGGGUGAGUGAAAUUUCGGCAGGGAAGGGAUUCAAGAAAAUAAGAGGAAAAGGGGAAACAAGAAAACCCUAGCCGAUGUUUUCCCCAUGCAACGGCUGUGCUGCACGAGAGCUGCAGGGGGGAUUUCUCCCGCAUUUGGCUGGGUGGAGAAACACCUUGAAAACAGCUUUUUCUCCCUUAAAAUAUGUGUAGGGAAUCAAACCGUGUUCUUGUAGAAAAGGAAUAUCCCCAGUACAGGGCAUAGAGCUGACCACAGAAAGGCUUUCUUUGUUCUCUCCUUGCACCUGGAAUUAACCUUUAUCCCACGAUGCCUUUUCCCCCCCUCUUCUUUCUUUUUUUGAGGGGGGAAAACGUUGUUUUUCCCAGUGACAUUAAGUGAUUCUUUAGGAGGGAUUGUCAGGGCAAAUAGAACCCCAAGCCUGCUAGAGCAGAUGGCUUUGGAGAAAAUGCCACCAAAGGUAAGCCCGGUCCGCUAGAGCCAGUUAGGCCCUGCAGAAGUGCCGGGGCUGGGGGGCAGCAGGCCAGGGGUUCAAGGUGACCCCCAAACCCACAGCCACUCACUGGUGCCCACCCUGAAGCAGGGACAGCCCUUGUGCCGGUCGCUGUGGGCAGCCCCUGGAUGAGGACCAGCUACAGCAUAGGCACAAAGGCUGUCCCCUACCCUGAAACACGCACACGUGCACACACACAGACACACGUACGCACACUCAAAGACACCCCCCCCGCUCCUCUAACCCCCCACAUCCGACCGCGCUGCUCUCUAGAAGCACUAAUGAUGCCGCAGACCAGCUAUGCGGUGUGAGGCAAAAGCAGAUGAAAGUGAUGUCACAUUAAUGUCAGCUCACAACUCGAGCCCACACAGCCUUGAUUGCUCUUAUUAAUCUUGCCAAUUUGUCUGUCAGCACUUGGCUAAUCCCUAAAUAGCCUCCCAACAGGUGCUUUAUGCUUCCGCCACAUCCCUGCUCCCCAGCAACCCCCAGGAGCUCCGCUCACCCUCCCUCAUGACACCGGCUUUCUCCUGUCCAUCUGGGACCAACUCUUUUCCCCUGGGAGGGCUGGAGGGGAGAGAGGUGACUUUGCAGAUGUUGUUUAGUCUGUCCAAAGAGAGGUCAGAGCUCUGAGCUUCCCAAAAGGAAGUGAUGACUGGUGGGGAAGGGAGAUGCUGGAGAAAUGAGGGGGCAGCGGGGCGGGGGAAUUACCUGAGGAUGAGCAAAUCCUCUGCAUGGGGUUAACCUCACAGUGCAAUUAGGAAACACAUUUACAACACCCUCCUCUCCAAAUAUUGCAAAAUAGCGAGCCACUUUUCCUUUACUUGUCAUGGAUUUGGUGGUUUUAUUGAGAGGGGAGAGAAAAUUAAAACUAAAGGUCCGAACUGAAGUUGCAGUGGAAAAGCCACUUUACACCCUAAGCAGUUUUAUCCUGCAGUUAAGCUGAGAGUCGAUUAUUUUCUCUACUACAGUACCAGAAAAUCUACUGGCUUAUUAUAGUGUAUAUUUCUUUAUAAAGUACCAGCCAUGUAUUGAGUAGAAGACUAAAGUUAUUGCAUUGUACGACUUAAUCCUCCUGAUGUUGUUCUUUAGAGUAGUAAUCUUAAUCACAAAACACAGAUUUUGUGUUUAAGACUAUUAACUCUUAAAUCCAAUUAACUGCAAACCCCUAUUAAACCGCUAAAGGGGAGUCCAGGCUGCUUUCCUGCCUCUGCAUUAAAUAAAAAUGAAUGGUUUCUUUCCGUUUGGCAGCUCUGCUGCAUUAAAUGGUUUGCUCACAGCUUACAAGCCCUGUGCAUGGCUGUGGUUUCUCCCUGUGAUUCACCUGGGAGAUGGUCUGGUCUGGAGGAAGAACUGCCAAACCCGUUUUUGGUGCAGCAGGAUCCUAUUUUGUAUCCAAAGUCGGCUUGGGCUCUUUCCAACCUUGUGCUCAGGACAGCAGGAAGGAAGAGCUUUCAGGAGCAUCUUCAACCAUUUAUCCGAGAGCCUGGUCCAAAGUGGUCCAUGGGAAAUAUAUCCACUAAUUGAGCUCAGGGCUGCUCAUCAUUAACCCUUGGGUGCUUCGGAUCCCAUCCUAAAAACUCUAUAAAAAUACCAGUCAUGACUGCAAGCUAUUUCACUCUGUCCUGACCUGGAUUUAUUAUUGGGAGACAAAGAGAUUUUUCUUUUUCUUUCUCCACAAGCCAUUUAUUUCAUCCAAUAAGAUUAUCCAUCACGGUGCGCUGGAACUGACCUACGAGCCGAGGAUAUUCUUAGAUACGCGGCAUGUCAGGAAACGGCUAGCAGCCCUGGGUGAUGCAAAUAUUUGGAUGACCAAGAGGGAACAUGCAAGGCUUCCUUGAACUCCACUUCCUUGGAGUAAAUCACAGUGUGAGGCUGCCUUAUCUCAACCAGAGACCCUGCAGAGGAAUGUUGCACUGUCCAGCCCUCGGGCCACCCACCUCUGAUCCCAGGCACCAGCAUCUGCACCAGGUCCAAGCUCUGACCCUUCAGAGGCACAUUUUCGCAAGGUUUCUGGCCAGCAACACCAACGACUGUCACGGCCAACCCCUUAAUUUGGAGAUGUCGUGCCCAGGGGCUUUAACCAUGCAUGAGCCAUCUGUUUGCAGGAGUGAGGACAUCCCUGACCAUGCAACAGGACUGAGCUGAGGGUUGGAGAUAGGAUGAACCUCACCUUAAGGGUAAGUGCUUACGAGGCGUAGGCGAAGCCGACUUUUGGAGCAAGGAACUAAGGAAGCUGUUCCCAGCCUCAAACAACCGAGAUGGACUACAGGGCAAAUCGGUCUGUGUGUGCAUGAAAUAACCCAGAACUCAUCUUCAUUGAGGAUUUCUCCUCUUCUUCUAUGCACCCGGUGAUUGGGUCAUAUCAACGGCUUUGCUGCUUUAGAAAACCACUAGUAUCACUCUACUAGAUGGAUGCACAUUUUCCAGUUUCUGAAUUUUGCAGCAGCUCGGUGAGGAGCAGCAGGUCCCAGCAAUGUGCUUUGUGGUAAUGAACCAUCACGUACAAGAUCAGCCUGGCCAGUUUUAGUAUGACCAAUGGUUCUACAUGGUGUGGUCUGCUUGUGAACCCAUGCAGAGGUGUGAAAUUCCUAUGCACACUCCCAGUCCAGGGUGGAGACACCUCCACCAUAAUCCUCAUUUAUGGUGGGGGCUCUGCACCUAAAUCCAGCCCUAUCACAGUAAUAAAAGGGAAAGAGCAGCACAAACCCCAUCCUGGCUAACAGGCCAAUGGCCACCCAACCCCACUAUCUUCUCUGGAGGGACUAGGAGACAUGUACCUGCUCCGUCCCCGGGAUGACUGCAGAAAUGUUUUCUCACUGGGCUAAUUAAUGUUAAUUGUGCCACUUUGCUAUCUCACCAGCCUUGCCCUGAACAGAGCUGAUAGAGUAUCAGUCAGAUAAGGAGCACUCAGCAUAGGUAACUGGUAAAUGUUGUCAGACCUGUGGUGGGGUGAGCUGCCUUCUGGAGGAGUUCUCUCUCUUGAUGAGAGUCCCAGGCACCAACCUCCUAAGAGAGACGCUGUAGUCCUAAGGAUACGUGGAGGCUAGCUGAGACUGGCACACUCCUCUAAGCUUUUUAGGAGGUGCUAUAAAGGAUUUUGGUGACUCAGGACUUACAAACACCAGAAAAGCAAGCUGGCAUUAAUUUUAUUGUAAUUCUUCUAAAAUUACUUAACAUGCAGUUUAUUCUUUUGAGUGGUUUUUGCUGUUGUUAAUUUAACACUGUGGAAAUUAAAGUUUCAUAAUAUUGCCCUUCUCCCCCC